rnacentral:rRNA from 1 species
CGAAAACUUUUCAAUGCUGGCAACAGCGAUAAGGGAACCUCGAGUGCCAGGUUACAAGUCUGGCUGUCGAGAUGCCUAAAAAGCGUUUCAUAGCAAGGGCCGGGCNANACCNGUGCCAGCCGCCGCGGUAACACCGGCUACUCGAGUGGUAACCGUUAUUAUNGGGUC